rnacentral:tRNA from 1 species
CAUUAAGAAGCUAUAACGGGUUUAGCAUAAGCCUUUUAAGCUUAAGACUGGUGGCCCCCACCCACCCUUAAUGG